AUGGUGGCCAGCAGGAGGCUGAUGAAGGAGCUUGAAGAGAUCCGCAAAUGUGGAAUGAAAAACUUCCGUAACAUCCAGGUUGAUGAAGCUAAUUUAUUGACUUGGCAAGGGCUUAUUGUUCCUGACAACCCUCCAUAUGAUAAGGGAGCCUUCAGAAUUGAGAUCAACUUCCCAGCAGAGUAUCCCUUCAAGUCACCCAAGAUCACAUUUAAAACAAAGAUCUACCACCCUAACAUUGAUGAGAAGGGGCAGGUCUGUCUGCUCGUAAUUAAUGCGGAAAACUGGAAGCCAGCCACCAAGACUGACCAAGCAAUCCAGUCCCUCAGCCUGAGCACCCACUCCGGGCUGACCUAGCUGAAGAAUACUCUAAGGACCGUAAAAAAUUCUGUAAGAAUGCUGAAGAAAUUACAAAGAAAUACGAGGAAAAGCGACCUGUGGACUAAAAUCUGCCACGAGUGAUUCCAGCAAGUUUGAGCAGAGACCCUGAGCAGUGCAUUCAAACACCCCACAAAGCAGGACUCUGUGGAAAUUGACACGUUCCACCAACUGGCGUCUGCUUGUGGCAGUUACUAACUUUCUACAGUUUUCUUUUUCUUAAUCAAAAGUGGUCUAGGUAACCUGUAAAGAAGGAUUAAAAAAUUCAGGUGUUCUAAAAAAAAAAAAAAAAAAAGAAUUGACUAACACACCAAGUAGAGUGUACAUGCUUUUAAAAGAAAAAAAAAUCAUUUCUUAGCUAUUAGAUCUUGCUUUGAGUCUUCUCUUAUAUUCCUAGAAGAAAAAAAGAAGGAAAAUAAAAUGGAUUCCGGUUUUAGCUCUAAUCUUUUGUGGGGUAGUUUUAAAUGAGUCUCCUGGCCGUUUGGAAGCUAGACCCUGUGAAGGGAGCAGCGAUUGAGAAACGCACAGAAGGAGCUGAGGUAUGAAGGCACCUGGAGUCAGCCCCUGGCCGUGUGCCCAGGCUGCUCCCUGGCCACAGAGAAGCAGUGGGGAUGGACGGAAGCUCUUGAGCCCAGAGAUGCACAGGCUCACAUUCCUGUGCAUGCUUCUUGUGAGUUGGGAAACCUCCAUGAUCCAAAGUUGUUCUUGCAAAACAGUGUCCCUCACAACUUGAUUGAUCCAUGACAAUAUUUUUUUCCUAUCUCUUUCUCCUUUUGGGUGAGACUUUUCAAUGAAUGGCAGGCAUUAUGCAAGCAAACCUCCCACUCUCUUGCCAGGGACAGCCCCUGGUUCUCUCUCUCUCUCUCUCUCUCUCUCUCUCUCUCUCUCUCUCUCUUCCUCCUCCUUCCUCUCCUCCUCCUCUCUCUCUAUUUCUGUCUGCUCUCCAACUCCCCCUGUGACUCAAAGGAGAUUGGAUAGCUGGAGUGAGGUUUCAACCUGCCUGUGGCUACUCCACCUUUUGGUAGGCGCCUAGAUCUUGCCAGGAAAAAAAAAAAAAAGGAAAGAGGGCAGCAGGCGGCUGGGUGAAGUCAUCCCUGGUGACACCUUCUCACAGGACUUCAGGGAAAAUGCUGGGCGACUGGGCAGUGCCUCUGCCCAGCUGCCUGUCACGGUGCUGGGAGUGAGAGGUGACCUCUUUAUUUUUAGCAGGGGGCUGUCAGGAGAGUUCACUCCUCUGCUUCAUCCAAGACAGGAGGCAGUCACUUUGGAAGUUUGUAAACACCGACUUUCUCAGUAGAGGUGGGACACUUUUCUCCAGAAAGGGAAGAAUUUCCCUGCCGGGGUUUCCCUCUUCUUAGAGUCGCACUGUGGACAAGACAGCGAUCUUUGGCUGUCUGAGUUGUGGCAAGCAGGCGCCGCUCAAGUUCUAAUUAUUACAGGGCAGUCAUGCCUGCCGGCGACGGCUGUGGACCAGGCAGAAGGUAAUUAUGACAUUUUAUUUCUUUGGAGUCCGUUUCACAUGUUGUUUGUCCUAAAAAAAAUUCUGACAAGUUUAAAGAUGUUUAGGUGAGAAGUAUAAUCCUCGGAAAUGUUCUUUGGCAAAAGUAAUAAUCUAAGCUUAGAAGUAGAUGCAAAAGGAGUGUUUGUGUUUCCUCGAAUAAGGAAAUAAUGUCCCGGAACUUUCAAACCUAAUUUCCCCGGGUACAGCUGGAAUCUCCUUGAAAUUUUUGACUUUAGAUGUUGACAUCUAAGCUCAUGAAUUCUUUUAAGUUUCCGUUUUAAAGAUUUGACAGAGAGUUGUGAGAGUUGAAUAUUAAGCUACUUUAUCAAUUUCGAUAUUUAAAUGCCUCUUAAGCUAUACAUUUUGAAGGCAUGAUGACCUCUGUGCCAUGUGGUACACGGUGGCAGGUGUGUUUAUCACUCUCUUACUGCUAAGAAGCAGGCACCAGGAGGCCGACGAUGCAGGGACUUAGUACGUACUGGUUCUCGAGUUGCUGCAGCCCAGACAGACAUUAUAGGAGUCACCUAUACAUCCUCAUUAGAUUUCCAGUUGAGGUUACCAAAAUUUGGAAGAAGUAGAAGGAAAGUUAUGAAACAAAGACAGGGGUCAUGGUUCAUCUUAUUGCCAAAGAAACAGAACUCUCUAGGAACAAGAGCCCCUUAUACUAUUUCUGUAAACCAUGGCCCUGUGGCCCUGUUGCCCUGUGGCCCUGUGGCCCUGUGGUCCCUGUGGUCCCUGUGGCCCAGCGUGGUUUAUGUAAGGUGGCAGUAGCUGAUUGUGAUAGUUUUCUUAAAGAUUGCAUUUCUCUGUAGUUCUCCAGUAUUUACUUUCCACAAAUUCUAUUAAAUGGAAAGAAACAGAUUAGUGUUAUGUCCAGUGACUUCUUAUGUAAAAUAAGACUAAACCAAACAGCUGGCAGUGUCCUUUGUAACAGUGCUUGGCACAGUUGAUGGAUUAAUUAACUACCUUAGAGAACAUUUUUAGAGACAUUUAAGUCUUUGCACUGGCUUAUAAGUUGGUCCAUGGUUGGUCCAUGGUUCUCAUACAUUUCCUUUCCCAGACAUCUGAACAUUCCCGAAGCAAGGCUUUCCCUUUUCUCUAACAUCCGCUCCCUGAGUAGAGUUUUGGACAACCAGACAUUUUAAACAAGUGGGGUGCACUGAUAAGCCAUUUCACACCAGGGGUCCAGGCACCCUGAUCAUUCUGCAAUUCCGGUAGAGAGACUUGGCAGAGAGGGAUUGAGGGCUGUGGUCACGUGCAGCAGCAGUAUCAAAAUUAAAUUAAAUAGUAACUACCUGUUGAUAAGGAAUAUCUCAAACUGCGUGUGAUGUGAACUGAGCAAACUUUAAGCUUUUUCUCUGAAAGUUUCACUAAUAAAAAAAAUUAAAUAGAUCAAAGGAAGCCCGUGUUCACACACUCAUAAAUAUGCACAUGGCAACUACGGUUAUCUCCCUGGAGAUAUCUCGUGUGCAGCUGAGAACCUCUCCCACUCCUGUGAGGUAACCUGCACCUGUCUCAUGGUUUUUAUCCUGAUGAGGUAACUUUCAGUCCCCAGCACUUGGUGUUUUCAUUCUUUGCUUCUGUCCCCUGAACUUGUUUGUUUUUCCUCUAUGUAGAAAUGGUGGGAGAUUGGCACUAGGCUAGAAAUAAAAUAUUUAUAAUUGGGGGAACAUUUUCUUCUUGCUAAACUUGAGAUUACGUGCCUCCAGAUAAGUCCCUUGGUGCCGUGUCUAAACAAGAAAUAACUGUUAUGAGUCGCGAAUUUGCUGACGAGUGAGUUCUCUGAACUUCAUCGCAGCAGUUCCUCAUUGAACCUCACAUCAAAGCUGAUUAUGUUACUUGCCUCUCAUUUUGGAGUUUGAUGUCCCAAAUUGCUCUGUAACUGCCAGGGAGCUAAAUAAGAGGGUUUUUGUUAUUGUUUGUGUGUGUGUGUGUGUGUGUGUGUGUGUGUGUGUUUUGUGUGGGUGUGUGGUUUUUUUUUUUUUUUUUGGAUUAACAAAACUCAUGAAACGGCAAUGCUCACAUGAUAGGGAUGCCCAUCUCACACUGGGAUGUGUGCCUUAGUCCUCACAGGUACCUUCUGCUAGGUGACAUACAGUCCAGUGGCUUCAGGUAUCAUUCAUCUGAAGGAAGAAGACACUCUAUUUAGCAAAUAGGAAGCACUGUGAGUAAGAGUACUCCAAGGAUUACUGCCAGCUUCAAGGUCAAGAGCAGAGUAAGGGGGCAGAGCAAAAAAGAAGGAAAUAAAUAAACAACCAAAGAAACGUUUGAAGCAGGCCUGGGAGGGUAGGUAGCUAUCUAAGCAAGAAGCACUGGAUGCCAAAGAAGGGAAAAACCAGGAGAGUAGACUAGCUCAGGGUAUAAUGGGAAAGUUUCUCCUGUAGCCUGAGCCUGGUGGUUCCUUAUCUGGCCUCCUUUGGUUCCUGCCUUGGAGUAGCAGCCAAGCUGGCCCUGUGAGUGUCCCUGAUUAGAUGGACGAAGUGGGUGUGAGUCAGUCAGCCUUCACCCAUUCCAGAUGACAUGGAAGGAGGUGGGUGCGAGCCAUGGAGAUGGGACCCAUCUCAACAGGAAACUCACCUCAUGUUUUUAGUGCAUCUUGUCGUGAGAGUGCUCUAACUGGGUAAUUACCUUCACACGUUUGGUUGUUCGCGCAGUAGACACUGGCUAGGCUCUGAAGCUCAUCCAGUUGCUGGGUUGGGUUAUGGGUUUGUGGGUGCAGACCCUGCUGUCCCGGAGUAAGCUGUCUGGUGGAGAGAUGCACAAGGUGACACAAUCGGCCAGCGAGAGCGACUGGGUCACAGGGCUAAGGAAACGGUUUAAAGUGGUAACAGGAGAGGAAGCUAAGCCUAUGUGCUGAAGCUCAGGUCUUCACAGAGAAAACGUGGCUGUUUUGGACUCCUGGGCUCUUACUCUACCUGCCUUGGAAGUAUGAAUUUGUAUGCAAGUACGAGACUCUAGAGUUGUGAAUUCAGUUUGUGCUUCCAGAUCUUUGUUGUUCUCUUCUCUGGAGUGGUGGGGCUAUUGUGUCACUUCUCUGAAAUGCUUGCAGCCACAAGUUUUGGGUUUCACUGUCUCCCAUCCUUUUUUCCAGAUUUUGGUAGAUUUGCAUGUCUGUAAUGAGUUAUUUUGGUGCUGGGAUCCAUGACUAAACAUGAAACCCACUUAGGUUUCACAUAUCCUAAAAUUUAAUUUCCUAGACUGUGUUUAGUGCGCUUGCAUUGUGUCUGUGACUUGCAUUGUGACUGUGAAGUGGGGAAUGGGAGUUUUCACUUGUGGAGGGGGGGUGUCACGUUAGCCCUCAGAAAUUUACAAAUUUUGGAGCACUCCAGACUUGGCAGUUUUCUGAUUAGGGCUGUAGAGCCUGGAUUUGUUUCUGGGUUUUUGAAAGGUUGUUGCGUUUAGGAAAACCAAGGCUCUUUUAAACACACAAUGGGCUGGUAAGUAUGAGAAUGCUACUAGCAAUUGUAUUGAAUAUUGUUUCGGAAGGUUAAAAAAAUUGAUUUAAAUACCCUCUUGAGUUUGCACUGUCCUAACAGGUCAGACUGGUGGGAAUUGAGGUAUGAUUUUUACAUUUCUGACCAGGCUUCUCCACUGAGAAUGCAUUUUGUUAAAAUCUGAGACCUAAUGCAGGAAGUCGACCAAGAGCCUCAAGCCCAGCUUGGUGCCCUUCGCCCGUUAGUUGAAGUGGAUUCCUACAAGGAGACAUAGUUAAGCUUUUGUGUCCUUGACUGUCUUGGACCCACCUUUUAUCCGGAGAUGAGUGCAGACAAGUAGAGAGGGGGUUCUGAACGCCUGCAGAUAAAUGGGAGGUCUGUGAGAAGCACCCACUUUGGCCUCAGUAGCAGUUACUACUGGAGAUGUUCGGCAGUCACACUGUGGGUGAGGAAGUCCCCAUCCUUUAGCAUUUGCUGAUUCUCAGGGUGGAAAUGCUCACAUUUUCCCUGGUCACUGAAGAGUUAGAGAACCAUCACAGUGGCUUCUGUGAACCUAGAGAGGCUAGCUCCAGUGUACAAAUGAUUGGAGGCCAAGGUCAGAGUCAGGGUUUAGUUCUAACAAGGCCACUUCUUCUCUAUUUGUGUAUCCUGAAGCCAUCACAGACGUUUAUCGAGUUUAGUGGAAGCACUUAGUCAUUUAUCUCUCCCCAUUCUUCUGCACAAUCAUGGAAAAUAGUUAACACUCUUGAAAUCCUACUUUGACCCAGCUGGGCUAAUAUUUGAACCUGAGCAAGAACAUGUGGGACAAUACAACCUGUCCUUAUUGCAGGAGAGCUUGUUUUGCGGUUGAUAUCUUAACCACCACUGAAUCGGGCAACCUGCUCCCUAAGCCCUGCAGUGGCCCGAUGGAUUCCUGGCAUUCUUGCCCCUGGAGAAGCUGAUCUGUAUUCUCCAAGUAUACGUGAUGAGUUCUUUGCUGCCGUCACCAAAAUAUGACGACAGCCUCUAGUUUACAACAUCAAAGGCCCAUAGGGUAUGAGUGGCAGAUCGUGGGCGGAUCUAUCUCUGGUGACUGACAGAGCAAAGUCCUGAUUGAGUAGGCUUGCCCUCACCUUUUGACACUUUAUGGCAAAUUGGCACCAAAAUACAUUUCACGUUCUCACUUCUUUAUAUGUUUGUCUGGAUCACGCAGAAUGCACGGGGUGGGGGGAUCUUGAGGGACAGACUUUAUUAUCAGGAUUUUUUUUGUUGUUGUUGUUUAAAAAACGUCUUCCUACUGAAGAUGUUCCACCAAAGGAUUCUUUAGCUAUUUAGGGAGAUAGCACUGUUACUGCAGAAAAGAUCAGCUCUAAUUUCAGUGUCCUAAAACCAUGCAGUUAUGCUAUAGUUUGAUGAAUGUUCUUGACAAAGUUUGAUAAGCAUAGGGUAUGCACACAUACAUGUAUACACAUGUAUAUUUCUGUAUCGGGGUUCACUACUAAGUGCUUUCUUAUGGCAUCCAAACAAUUUGAAGAUGUUUUAAAAGCCUGCUGGAAUAUCCUAUUCACUGGAUUUGCCCUCAUCUACCAUCCAUUAUUGACAAUUGUGCCACUAAUGAAAAGGGGGGUGGGGCACUCGAUGUGUUUUUUUUCUAAAUAGGGACUGAGAUGGAAAGGUUGGAAAUAGGAACUGCCAUUUCCUUAAGAGCUGGGCCUAGGAACUCUAGCAAUGUUAUUCUCCUCACAUUGUUAGUUGAGGGCUCAAAAGCCCCAGUUUGAGGGGAGGGGACAAGCAUUCCACCCGUUACUAAGAAGGUCUCAAAGUGUUUCUCAGCCAUUUCACUAUCCUGUGUUGAGAGUCCUAUGCUUAGAUCUGUACCCCGUUUUAAAUGGGGUUAUUAGGACUUUUGAUACCUUGUUUCUUGAAUUCUUUAUAUAUUUUGUAUACUAGUCCUCUAUUGGAUAUGAAGCUGGUGACAUUUUUUGCCAUUCUACAGGUGGCCUCUUCGUCCAAAUGACAGUGCCCUUUGCCUUACAGCAGGUUUUCAGUUACAUGAGGUUCCGCAUAUUAGUUGUUGAUCUUGAUGCCUGUCCCAGUGGUAUGAAAGGCCCAUUGUUAAGUUCUCAGUAAUAGUAAAUAAUAAUGUUAGUGACACACAUCCUUAAGCAACACUAAAUAGGUCACAUCUGAGUUCAGACCUCAGUCACUGUGAGCUAAUAAUCCUCAUGCACAUCCCAGUGGCAGACAGAACAUGAGAACCCACUCUUCCCUCCAUGGUGGGUCCACUGUGUGGGAGGGGGCAGAGUCACCCUGAUCUCCAGUUUUCCCAAGCAGCUCUGGAAAGGGUCCCUGGAGGGUUUACUCCAGUGGUUGAUCUGUUCUUCCUGUUUCGGGUGGGACUUCAGGGUAUGCGGUUGGCCUACCUUGUUCUGACCAUUUCUAUGAUUGUUUGAAGCCAAGUUUGUGUUAGCAUUAUGGCAGAGACCUCACUGAGGGAAGCUCUCUCUCAGGAUGUAUAAGAGAUGGCCUCCAAGGCCUCUCAACCUCCAUUACUGUGAGCCACAAUCUGUUCUGUACAAACUCAGGUCAAGUCUGUCCUUUGCCCUUGAAUGCGGUCAGUCUCAAUUCAUCGUGUUCUUGGACAUAGAUCUUGUGGGUCUGAAGGACUCAUGGUACUUGUGAAUUGUCAGGGCGAAGCCGGGAUCCAUCUAUUUUAUGAGGCCAUGAGUACCCCCAGAGGUUCGGGGUUAGAACAUGCAUGUUUCUUAUCCACCGGUUUGGUUUCAUCUUGUCGGCACUAUGGCAUUUUUUUCUCAUACCUUUUUCCAGGUCAAGCGGUUUAAAAGUUUUCUUGAGUAAAUAAAAGUACAACCAUCUUUUCCUGUCUACAAAUAUUGGUUCCAGUUCCCUCAAAGACACCAAAGUUCUCUCUAGAACAUCCAGUGCCCCUUCUAACAGUAAGGAGGAUUCGGGAACGCACUUCUGAACGUUCUUCUUCAUGACAUCACUGUCAUCCUUCCAUUCCAGUCCUUCAGCCUGUCUCUCAGGGGUCGGCCUUCCAUGGGUUCAUGGUUCUAGCCCAAGGCACCAACUGCAAGAGCCUAGGUAGAGCUCAGACCCCAGGCAGAUUCCUUUGCUUUGGUUCUCAUGUGCUGGGUGGCAGAAAGCCAGUUUGUGUGCAACACAAAUGCGAAUUUUGUGUCUACAAAUCUAAUAUAGGGUGUGUGCAAAUUUAACACACACACACACACACACACACACACACACACACACACACACACACAGAGAACACUAAAUGUUUAGUCAUCUGAUUUUUGGAACUUCAGAGUGAAGGACCAAAGGGCUUCUUUCUGUUCUAAAGACCAUUUAAGGGUCUGGGAUCAAAUACAGUGCCUCAACUUUUUGUUUUUGUGUUUGAAAGAGUAGAGGGCCAACAUCCAGGGCAGAGAGGUUGCUUUGAAAAUUGGUAUCUUCUUCAGCCCCCAAACUGAAAUCUAGAUGUUCUAGUUUGUCUGUGUUUGGGUGGCCCUGUUCCUGCUUAAAUUCUUUCUAUGUAACAGGAACCAGUAAGAGAGAGGAUUCAGAGGAAGAAUUCUUGAGUCUUUAGACACUGUGUAUGUUUUCUUCCCCCAGCAAUUAUUUGUGACACCACUAGAACAUACAAGAGGAAAAAUAAAAAUGACUUCAUGAGGGAAUAUUGUCAUCAGACCCUUUGGUCUGGAGAGAAAUGACCUCAUCAAGGGACUUGUGUGGUAGGAGAAAACUGAGCAAGACCCUAACACACUUUUCCAGUGCACAUUUCACAGCCUCAGACUUGUUCUGCGGUCCUCCCUCUAAUCUUUCCGUGCUCCCCUCCUGUUUUCAGUGACCUCCCUUCCCAGACACGUGCUUCCUCAGAAUCCCAGACUGAGAAAGGCAACUGAGAAAGGCAAGGGGCAAACCCUGGAUGUAGCAAUCCCUGUAGUACAUCUAGGUCACAAAGUGUUCUGAUGCUGAAAUUGGGAAACCAGAGGGCGGGAAUGUCCCAGCUGUCUCUGGGGACACAUAAGGAACAUGAUGGCUAGGAAGACAGCUAUACUGCCCUGCUUCUCAGGAUCAAUUAGCCCUUUCCUUAGGGAUACAGAUGAGACGACCUUAAAAGGAGGCUCUGAGAAUCCCCCAGACCGAGCCUCUCCUACUUUAGCCUUACUUUUGUAGAGCUGGCAUGCUCUGUGUGCAAUCUUCACUCACUGGGUAAACACCAGCCAGGGCUAUUAAAGAUUUGGCACCGUGGCCUGUAGUAGUGUCUCAGAGAGGCAUCACCAGACCGCAGCAGAUUCUUUGCCCAGGGAGGGAGGGCUGCAGCUGUGCUUAAUACGGAAAGAGGUGAUGGAAAGAAGCAAAGCCCAGAAUGUUCCUUCUGCCUGGCAACAGCAAGUCUCAAAGGUUUUCUGCACACUCAUCCUCAGCCUGCUAGUGCUUCAGGGGUGGAGACUGGUGCUCCCAGAGCUGGGCACACUCCCCCACACCAUGAUGUUAAUGAGCCUCACACAGUAAUUUCUACGAUGUCGAUGGUGAGGAUGAUGGUGAGGGUGGGGAUGACGUCCCUUGCUAGCCGUGCAAACAGAACAAAGGCAACAACAUGCAAAUCUUCCUGACUCAGAAUGUGACAUCUCACUCUGAGCUAGUUGAACUUCUAAAUGUUUCAGUUUGAAAACGAACCCAUUUUCCUGUGGUGUAUCUUAAAAAUUAGGUCAUAAAACGUAUAGACUCCACCCUUAGGUAAGGAGAGGGGAUUAAAAAUGUACCUAUGUUCUUAGAAAAGGAAGGUUGUCUCCUGUGCUGAGAAACCUGUGCAAGGAUCAGAUUCUACCAUCUAUGUUCAGUAGCUCUGGGGUAGCCGGACCACUUACUAGUGGCUGGUGCCUUUGCCUCCACAGCUGGGUAAACAGGACAGAUUCUGAACAACCCUGUUCCUUUCAUUCUGAGAUACUGGGGAAACUUGCUUUCAGGAACCUACUCGUUUGUGCUAAGAAAGGCUUCGAGGUGAGUGUUUCAUUAUAAAGUGAGCACACAUUCAGAGAAAUUACAAACCUAGAUUUAAUGCACUUGCUUUCCAGUCUGUCUCACACACAACAAACAUUGGCAUUGACAAGUAGGGGAAAGAACUGAAGAUCCUCCUUGCCCUUUGUCACAAGGGAGGGUAAAGACCUAGGUUAGGGAACUGUUGUGUCCCGAGUGGCCAGGGUUUGGUGGCACGUAGCUUCUUUUCCCCGUGCCAACUCUUAAUAAACUGGAAGAGGUGCGUGGGUCCCUGAUAAGGACCGUGAAGCCUUGUUGGGAAGUUUCUGGAAAGAGUACUGUAACACAUUAACAUAGUCAGCCGUGUGUGGGAAGCAGUGGUACAGGUUUGCCUCGGAGCAAGAUCAAGAGGGAUGACAUUAACCAAUGCCUUCCUCCGCCUCUCUCGACUUUGGAAGACCCUGAAGCCAUUCAUUGAGUGUGAUGGUUCCUUUUACACUAGUUACAGGGGUCUCAGCACUGUAGGCCUUGGCAGUUGCUCUGCAGACAGAGCCGAAGGUUAGGUGCCUCCUUGCUAAAGCUGGAUAAACCUCCAGCACAGGGACUGUUUUAACCUUUGCUGUUGCAGUGUGUUACAUGGCACGCCUGGCAGGGCUGCUUUGCUUGUGAUAUAGUAGGAGUUCGUGUGCAUGUGUUUUCCUUACUAUGCACUGCGGAUAGUUUGCUUAUGUAUUUACUUACUUACUUUUAUUUAUUUAUUUUUUUACUUGUUCACUUUACUGCUCAAGCUACUCACUGCUCCCCUCCCGGUCAUUCCUCCCCACAUCUUUCCUCCCAUCCCCCCUCCCCUUCUCUUCUGAGCCGGUUGGGGGUCCUUCUGGGUAUCCUCCUUCCCUGGCACAUCAAAUCUUCGAGGCUAGGCAUGUCCUCUCCCACUGAGGCCAGACAGGGCAGUCCAGCUAGAAGAACAAAUCCCAUGGACAGACAACAGCUUUUGGGAUAGCCUCCGCUCUAGUUUUCAGGACCCACAUGAAGGCCAACCUGCAUAUCUGCUACAUACGUGUAGGGGGAGGCCUAGGCUCAGCCCAUAUAUAUUCUUGGUUGGUGCUUCAGCCUCUGAGAGCCCCACGGGUCCAGAUUAGUUGACUGUGUUGGUCUUCCUGUGGAGUUCUUAACCUCUUCGUGGCCCUCAACCCUUCCUCCUAUUCUUACAUAAGAGUCCCCACUGUUUGGCUGUGGUGUCUGCAUCUGUCUGAGUCAGCUGCUGGGUGGAGCCUCUCAGAGGACAGCCAUGCUAGACUCCUGUCUGUAAGCAUAACAGAGCAUCAUUAAUAGUGUCAGGGAUUGGUGCUUACCCAUGGAAUGCGUCCCAAGUUGGGUUGGUUAUUACUAGCCCCCAGUCUCAGUCUCUGCUCCAUCCCCUGCCCCUCCAUUUCUUGUAGACAGGAUAAAUUUUGGGUUGAAAGUUUUGUCAGUGGAUUGGUGUCCCUAUUGCUCCACUGUGGUUCCUGCUUGGCUAUAGGAGGUGGCCUCUUCAGGUUCCAUAUCCCCAAUGUAGUGAGUCACAACUGACUUCUGGUAAACAUUCUUUUAUCUGAAGAGAGAAGGCUUGGAGGCUUUAGGGAUGGGUUCUGAUCUAGAUACUGCUUUUCUUGACUAUGUCUGCUUGUCCUCUGGAAAAUGGGGUAUUUUCCUCAACCAACCAGAGCUGUGGGGGCCAAAGUAAUAGAAACAGUGCUGAUGUGGUUUUUAGCCCUUGGUAUAGUCUCCAGAAAUAGGAGGCUGCCCUAGUAGCAGGUCUCUUCCGGGUUCCUGGUUUGGUUGCUGGAUUCAAUCCUGUCUGUCACUGCAUUCUAGCCAUGUUUCUGAAGCUCAUGACAUCCUGAGCUUGUAGACCACUGGGGUUUGUGGGACAAAUCUAUCCUACUGCCUGUUUUUGUAAGCCAAGUUUUGUUGGAUCAGUGUUAUGCUCUUUCAUUUAAAUAUGUCCAGAAAGAUGCAGAUGUUUACUUUCUGGCCCUCUACAGAGUGCCUACCGCUACUGAUAAAUAACUGUUUCCACCAUGAGAGUUGUGUGAAUUCUAGACCGCCGUGUCCAUUGUGUGCUGGGGGUAACUGUGAGACUUAAUUAUAAGCUAUGAAAACUGCCGAAAUAAGAGAUUCCAAAGAGUGUGGUUGUGCGACGUUCUGCUGGGUCUUCCCAAAUAACUAACUUUCCUUUCUUCCUUUGGCAGUAGAAUCCUGGCUUCAGCUGGGACAUGGCCACAGCUGAACUCUUUCCUAGACUGUCUUACAGUCAUAUGGCCAUGUUCUAGCUAUAGGAACGUGAAUGGAAGCUAUGUAUACAAUGUGUAACAGGUACAUGACUUUAGAGAGAAAGGGGAAUGUUUUCUUGGUACUUUCUUCUUUAUGGUAGUGAUGUGAAUGAGUUAACUGAAGAGCUGAGGUCUUGGACCAUUUGGAGGAAGUGUCAUUCAAGAGUAAUGAGUAACAAUACAGAAAGGGUCCAGGAUUCUAACAGCAUGGGCAUGCCUGUAUCAACCGUAGACCUUUAGGCUCAGCUGCCACAUACAGAAAUGGCCUGCUCUUUUGCUUAAGCCUCUAUUACUCUGACAUUUGAUAUAGUAGUCAAACACGUCUUGCCAUGUAUAGUUGGACAUUUCUAUGAGAAUUAGAUUGGAAUUAAGUUGAAGGUAUUUGAGAGAGUUGGCAAGAAUAAGGUGCCAUGAAGUCGGGUGGGGAGGGAGGUAGAGGAUUUGGUAGGAGUGUGUGUAUGGGGUGAAUGUUAUCAAAAUACAUUGAAUGAAAUUCAGAGUUAAUCAUCAUUAAACAAAAUCAUUAAAAAAGUGUAGACAAAAAUAAAUAUUUUAAAAGUCCCAAUAUUAUGUCAUUAAGAUUUUACUCAUUUGUAAAUAAGUAGAGUUAGAAAUGAAAAAAAUAGAAUUAAGAAAUUAUUACAUAAAUACAUAUUUAUGUAAAAAAAGAAGUCUUUGUUCCUAGCUUUAAAUUAGUCCAUGCCUUUCUAAGUCCCUAGGCUUAGUCAAAAGCCCCCCACUUUCUGGAUUGAAUUGGAUACCUUAAGGGUUGUACUGUUUUGACAUUAAUUAUAAAUCAGCCCUCAAGUUAAACCAUGAGUCUAUAAAUCCACACCAUAUUCUGACAAACAUGAUUUAGAAUUGAUGCAUAACCUAGACCAUAUUGCAUAAGAGUUGUUGCAUAAUACUGAAAAAAAAAAAAGCUUACAAGUGACCAUUGUUGAUAAUACCACAGCCCAGGAGAUGAUAGUCUUUAAAACCCUAUAAUAAAAUCUGAGACUGAUUUAAUUAUUCAAGGCGGUCAAGGCCGAACAUUAGGGGUAACCAAUGUUUUGCUGUAUUUUCUCUUUAUAUUCUAACUUCAAUUUCUGGGAUCUACAGCACCAUGUUUACAAUAAAUUCCAUGGUCUUUGCCCUGAUCACACUCAGAGGUUUUUGAUCUGUAUUUUAUUGACUUUGUCAAAUGAGGAAAAAGCGCUGGGGAAGAUAGUAGUGUGCAGUGGCCCCCAUGGACUGAGCCUGCUGGCUCUGUAGAAGGCCGGGCAGCAGGGCAGCAGGGCAGCAGGGUAUUGGGGCAUUAAGGCAGCUGUCCCAGCCAAUAGUUACCCAAGGACCUGAAAAUCAGCUGAGACAUUGGAGUAGUCCAUCAUGAAUGAGAGAUGAAAUGGUUUUAACCUCUCUCCAUGAUAGGACCACAGGCACUGGAAGAACCUUCUGAAACUUUUUACAUUUUAAUAUCCUUAUAACAGCAGAAAGUCAAAUAGUCUUGGCAUUUUUCAGGGUAGUAGGAGGUCUGUUGUCUGGGUACCAUGGGGCCAUAGAUCUUGAUGGGCCUCUGAUACCUGCUGUCCCAGAUGUCCCUGCCCGUCUCAAUCACAGGGAUGUUUUAAGCAGUGUUGUUAGCAUUGCACAUUGUUUUCUUCUCUACCUAACACAAAGUUCUAAGUCUCUUCAUCAUAAGAAAGUACAUACCUGUUUCGUAGAAAUAUAGGACUUGAGGUAUUCAGUUUCAUCUGACUUCAGACUUCAGCAGGUUUGGAAGUAUAUAACCCUGGGCCCACCGAUAUUCCAGAGGGGACCAUGAUUCUGUAAAUCAUUCAAUGUCUAUUUAUGUUCAGCUCCUUCUUUACAAGAAGCCGAUGCUUCAUGUGGACUCUCGAACAGUGCGAGCCGUGUUGUUGAUCUACCUGACCCCCUUCUUUCACAGCCUUGCUUAAAAGGACACUAAAUUCUCUUGCUCUUGAUACAAGUAAGUUGACUAAUGACAAAACUCAGAGAAGUAUUCCAUUCUUCCACUAAUCAUCCACUUGUGUCUUAAAAGUAUCAUAUGGGACAUUGAUGGAAAAACUUGAAUGAAUCCAAAGAUAUAUUUAAUCUUUGGGGUGUCUUAUGGCUGUUACAGGUAGAGGGAUCCCUCCAAAUCUGUUGGAAGUGAGACUUUCACCUGUAUAGUCCAGGACCCCAAGCCUCCGUAAUGUUGCUGCCCACAGUAGACACAUCCUCCCCUAAUGGAAUAAUCCCUCACCAGCGUUCUUCGAGGCCCUUCUCCCAGGGUGGUUCUAGGUCGUGUUCUUCCUGUUGAUAAUUAAAACUAACCAUCACAUCAUCAAAAAAUAACUCAGAGCAUAGACUACCUAACAAAGGAAUGAUAAAGAUCUCUCUCUGCUUCUUUCGUGUACUGCUUAUUUAAAAUAAUUUUUGUUCAUUUAAAAAGAAGCGGUUUUCUUUUGUCCAGCCAGCCCCACUAGUUUUAUUUGGCUGUGUCUGCAUCCCAAAGACUCACUUCCUCUGUAGCCUUCACCUAAGGGACUGGGUUCCAAGAAGUUUAGGAUAAGAAAGUUUAACACACUGUGACACUGAUCUACUUGCUUGUACGGAGUCGAUGCUUGGGAUGGCCCAGCUCAGUUAAAGGGACACUCCACAGUAGUUCUGUUUUUGUGGUUCUGGAGGCUUCCCGCCCAGGAAAAGUAAAUGAUUUGGGAUGAUUAAAAGGCAUUUUCAUGGAAUUAUUUUUUUCUAUUCUCAUUCAUGUAUGCAACAUAUAGCAUAUAAACAGAAAGUAGCUGAGUAUUUGUGUAUCCGUGUGCCUGUGUACCCAACAGAAGGCAUCUAAAGUCAUUUUACUACCAGGCCUGUCCAGUCAACAGUGCCCGCAUGGAGAAGAGGAAUAGGUAGAUCACCCACAUCUGAGGAGCUGUGAUGGUGGGCACAUACAUACACAACAUCCUUUUGCCCUCCAGUAUCUCGAAAGUGAUUUCCAGAAAGUGCUUUUGGCUAGCAGACCAUCUCCAAUAUAGUGCUUGACAUUUUACACAUGCACACAUAAAUUGCAGGUGGCGAUCAUUAAAUUCCCCUGCGCACCACUGGCAGAAACUUGAGCCAGCCGAGAGCUCUGGUGGCAAAGAUAAGUAUCUGUCACCCACAGGUAAGAAUGAAGGAGGACUUAUGAUGAGCAGGACUGUCUGUCACUGGUAUGGCUCAGCCUAGACUGUCCCUAUGCUCUUUCAUUAUAUUGUAUUCCCUUCCAUUUAGGAAUACACGUUCUAAAAGGGAGGCUUCUGCAGCAAAUUAAUCGUGCUUCCUACGAAAGUGAAGCAGUAGAGUGCCUCUUUAAACAGCUGUUUGCAGGCAGCCCUUCACAGAUAUACAUGCCGACUUCUGUAUUACAAACACACCGAAGGACUAACCCUUUCCAUCCGCGGGCAGAUUCCUAUUGCCAUGUGUGAGUAUAAGGAGGUGGAAGAAAUAUGCUCCUAUAGAAACACCGUCUACCUCAGGCAGGAAAAUUUUAUGUUUACGGUUUUGUUUCACUCUGGGACAUCUCAUUACAGAUUGGCUUCUUUCCAGACUGUGGCAACACUUAAGGAGUGUCACCUUUCGUCAUGCACUUUCUUGAUUGUGCCUUCCACACCCCUAAAUUCAUACUGCACCCAUUCUCCCUUCAAGCCGCCCCUGGGUACUGCAUUAGGCUUAUUUACUGUUAACACCUGCACCAUUUACACCGGUUCUUCUUUUUUUUUUUUUCCAAAAUCUGUUUCAGUGUAGCAAAGCAGAGGUCCCCCGUUGAGAAUGAAGUUGUUUUUGUGCCUGAUAGAGUGCGGUCAUUUUGGUUGCAUUCUUUUAAAAGCUGCUGGUUAUUUCCUUCCAUUGCUGGCUUACCUGUAGAGAGAAACAAAUAAUGUACUCUUUAAAGAAGGGCUCAAGGCAUGAAUGUGACCUACAGCCAAAUGGUCCACCACUUUAAUAGUUAAUACCUGUGCUAUGCAGGAGAAUCACCGAGUUUUGUCAUAAGCCAAGUUUUCCUUCUUUAUCACAUACAUCACAGUUAAUUUUCAUUGGACUUUGUAUCAGACACAAUGUGGACUGACUCGGUAAUUCUGUCAGUUCAGGCUUAGAUUAGACCCAGUCUAUUCUCUAACGAGCAAAAUCAGGAAUUAUGUUGCUAACUAAUUUUUUUUUCAAUUCUAAGAAACAUGUUCUUUAAAAAAAAAUUGCCACCAGUAUCAUACAAGUAAACCCAAGGUCAAAAAAGCAGGGAACAGACAUUUACUUUUGAGCCCAACUGCAGUAGAUCCGGGACUGUAAUUUGCUGGCAACUACAGAUCAAAUAGAAUGCGAAGCUAGCAAAGUUGCUCCACAAUGACAGUUUGCUUUCCGUGAAGCCCGUUUCUUCACUCUGAUUUUUAUCUGCCCUCUGAGGAUAUAGUGGAAGUCUUUUCCUGCUUAGGGACAGUGAAGUGAUUGAAUCAAAUCUUGGCGCUGGUAUUCAAGAAGGAAGGGCAUCUUAGUCGUCAACCUGUCCUCAAUUGAGUGCUUGUCUUCUACUUGGGAAGGUCAUUUCCUUGCUUGGGCCCUUGCCUUAUAGAAUUUAGUUAUUAAACACUAACAAAGGCAGGAAUGUUGAAAGCGGCUGGCAUCUUAUCCUCGGACACUUCCAAAGAAUCUCACAGCUAGCAGAAGAAAGCUUCCUUCUAGGAGAUGGAUUAGAUAGUCAGUACCUCCCUGCCCCAAAGUGGCACUGUGUAGUUUGAGAUACAAGGAGAAGGAUAGUCUCAAAGAGUGGCCAAUUACUGCUCCUUUUCAAAUUAGGGAGGGAGGAAGACAGAGAGGUAUGUGUACAUGCAUGAGUGAGGCUGUGUAAGUGUACAUGUUUGUGUGUGUGUGUGUGCGUGUAUGAGGGGUCUGAACAGAACACUAAGUUGCCCUAAAAAGGUGGGGCUCAGCUACAAUGGGUAGGAAAAACAGGCCCUGAGCUGACGCCUCUUCCUCUCUGCCCCUGGGAGAAGCUGCCCCUUGGCUAAUUGGUCUGAGAAAGUGAGAGCUUCCUCUGAGUGCUCUAGAAUUGUUUAAUCUUCUGCUUGCUUGUUUAAUCCUCCAGUUGACACAUCCCAUUUGCUCCGUCACGGCUCUAAUUCUGCGUCGUGGAGAGAGACAUUUCCCUGUUCUUAUUUUGUUCCUCUCCCUACACAUAUUCACUCACAGAGGGCACAGCAAGUCUCCAGAGGAUUUAAAAAAAAAUUCCGACACGUUACACUAAGAAAUGUUCAAGUCUGUAACCAGAUAUUGACUGACCUUUCUAAGAAAAAUUCAACAGGAAUUAGCAUCAACAGAUGGUCACCAGCCGUGAGCAUGAGACCCUGAGUCACUCGCCGAGAAUGAAAGGUCUCUAGGCCAAAACAUAUUUAUAGGUGCGAGGGCUGGACCAGCUGUUUGUCACAGUUGCUAGGUGACAAGUUAUUACAAAUCCCUUUUUAAAAGCUUGUCACAUAGGACGAUGACAUGGCUAACUUUCUGAAAAAUACUGUUUCCCUUCAAUUUAUAUGUAUUUCCUAUAUCCAAUAAAAUCACACUGUGAAAUAGUCUCUUAUAGUGCUCUGCCGGGAAUCUUCUAAAUAUGUUUUAAAAUGAUUAUUGGAUCACAGUUUCACACCGGACUAUGAAAAAUCUACAAAGUUCCCAGAAAAGUGUGUGUGUGUGUGAAGCACUGUAUCAAGUGAGAUAUAUGUCUAUCCCUUUCUGCUUGUCUCAGAGAGGUCAGAACAGUGUCCACAAAUUUCUAAAGUGAUUUAAAAUCUAAUGGGGAGUGAGCGUUACAAGGAUCAUGAAAACAAUCUAAAAGGCAUGGCUGUCAGUAACAGGUCUCCUGAUCUGGGAUAGAAUGGAGACUAGCACACCAGUCCUGACUCGCAGGGUGUCGAGAUGACUGGCUGAGAGAAAGGGAUCACGUGGUGAUUAUCUGAGACUGUGCUCACCGACGGAGCUAACCGCAGACAUGGCCUUCAUUAUACAGAGGAUAUAAUUUAGUCUGAGCGGCUGGCCUCAGACUGUAGGAUUGCUUGUGGGGACUGCUAAUGUGCUUGAAAGAGAGAAGAGGAACCUUGAUUCCUUAGGCCCAAUUUUGACAGGAGUCAGGGCGGCUCUUUACAUGUCUCUGUCUUGACUAAUGGUAGUUAGGGAUGGCUGUCCUUCGCCAUUCAUCUCCGAAGUGAUCUGUAUGCUCCAGUGUGAACGGUGUACUUCCUGUGCCCCUGUGCUGGUCACUCCUGUUCCAUGCUCUGACCUUGAGCCACAUAGACAUAGAUGAAGACUCUAGACCUCAACCUCUUUGGCAGUAACCUGGGAUAUAAUAAAUCAGACAUGACGACUAACUAAGGCUAUUGAGUUUGUAAGGAGGAAGAAUGCCUGUCCCCUGGAAGGUGUUGUCUGUGGUAGAUUCAUGCUGCAUUACACCCUGGAUUGGAAAUGGGUUACUGGGUUUAUUUGAAUUGUUAUUCAACCUUUCUGGCUCUUUUCAACCAAAAAAUAAAGUUACCUAAAUACAACAUCUUGCUAAUCUGUGUAAUCUUAUUCUGUAAUUAAUUUUAAUAGUUGUCUACCUCAUCAUUUAAAAUGUACACUUUUCCAUUAUUUUAGCUUAAAAAGUGUUAGUAUUUUAUUUUGUUACAAAUGGCAGAAAUAAAACAAACAAACCAAAAAAAAAAAAAAAACCCAGCUUUAUGCAAAAGGAAAUUGACUUUAGUCUGUGGAUGACUUUGCUUUCUACACUGCUUCUUGUUUGGUCUUAGCAGUACCAAGAAUUCAAACUGGAACUUCAAGAUUCAUUUAUAUUCUAGCCCCUCCCCCAACACACACACACACACACACACACACACACACACACACACACACACACACACACACUUUGCUUUUCCUCUCUCUUUUCCCCAUCCUUUCUCUUUGGUAAUUAUCUCCUUUAACCUAAAGUUAAAAAUAUGUGAAAGAAUUUGAGUUUUGAUAUAUUAAAAAUAUGUUUUGUUUUGAAAAAUUGUCUUCAGUUUUAAAUACACUUUUCACUUUGGGAAAGUUUAUCUUGUAAGGUCUACAACAAUGAAAACAUUUGUAUUUAACAAGUUUGUCUCUCUUAACUAACCCUCUACUUAGUUUUCAAAUUAAUUUUUCUCUAGUAGCUUAAGAUUAAAAGCUACUUCUAAGAGGUAACUUUCACGGAUGAAGUCUUUUUCUCUUUCUCUUUCCCUCUCCCACUCUGUCUGCCUGCCCCCCCUCUUUCUCUGUACUUGUGUAUAUGUGCGUGUGUGUGUGAGAGUGUGUGAGUGUGCACGAGUGUGCCAUUUCGCCAUGUGUGUUUAGGUGUGUGUUCUCAUCGUCCGUGUAACGAUUGAGGUUGAGGGCCAUGCCUCCUCAUUUGAAGUCUCUGGAGUCAGGAAUAGUACCAGUAAGCAUACUUGGUGUGUACUCAUUGGAAUACGAGAAGUCAAGUGCCCACAAGAGACCUUACUUUUUGAAAAUGACACCAAGACUCACUUGUUUCAGUAUGAGUGUUGUUUGUGGUCAGACCCUAGCUAGCACAUCUCCCCUCUUUCAGAAAGAGCGUUGACCAUCAUGUUUCCUAAUCUUAGAGAACCCCCUAUUGGCGAAUACUGUGUCCUACACCGUGAACCACGGAGCACAUGAGCAUUCCAUCAGGUUAAGUGCUAGACUACAGCCAGUUCUUCAUUGGGCCUGAUGGCACACGCUAUAAUUCCAGCACUCUGCAAGAAGAAGUCUGAGAAUCAAGAGUAGUAUGCUAGACUUAGCUAUACAGCAAGUUCAAGGCCAUCCUGGGCUACCUGACAUCUUGAUUCAGAAACCCAAAAACCCAAACAAACAAACAAACAAAAAAACCCUCAAACCUUGCUUUUGAUAACUUUAUUUUUUUAAGGUUAUCUGUUUUGUGUGAGUCUGUGUACAUGGUUGUAGUUAUCCAAAGAGGCUAGUGGCAGUGGCUCCCCCUGGCUCUGGAGUUUCUGGCAGUUAUGAGCUGCUUGAGGUAGGCAUUCUUGAAGCUAAGCUCUGGUCCUAGGUAAAUGCAGUGCGUGCUCUGAACUGGCAAGCCAUCACUCCAGCUCUGAUAACCAUAAUUUUAAAGAAAAAGAAGUACAAACCAAGGCAAAAGACGUGCCCAAAACUCUUUGGUUUUUUAAAAAGCUAUUCAGACCCAUUUGACUUUUUGAGACCUAUGGAACGACUGAAUCAGGGUUGCCCUUCGGGAGCCUGGUUGUAAAGAUUGUCCCCAGGACCAUGUUAAAGCUUAGUGUAGAGAUGACUUUCCUUGGUUGCUGUAUCAAUGACUGGAUUUUUAAGGUUUUUCUAAUUGAGUUGGUGGGACAAGAGUCUUCUGGGCACAGACACUGCUCUUUUCUGCUGUCUGAGCUCCUCAUACAGGCACACCUAGCAAUCCCCUGCUGAAAAUGUCAGAGAAUUCCCCGGCAGACCUACUAAGUGCACUCUCUAUUCAUCUACCCUUUGGCCUGCAAACUCCUCACUCUUGGAUCAAUUCAGGGAGGUGACAGAUCCCACCCGGGUGGCUCCUUCCUGCUCCAGGUUCUGGAAAAUGUUAAGGCGGUGAGCUAGGCAAUCAUAUUAAUCUUUUCCUGAUGCCCAGGGAAGGAAGUAAAUUUAGCUCCUGACAUACCAUCUUGCCCUAGCAAAUGUCCCUGUCUCUAUUUUUUCUUUAAAUAGUACUUCCAUAUAAUUUGCUCACAGUGACUCUUAGGGUAAGAAACACGUGGUUCAGAGUGCCUGGGGUACUUGUUCUUGCAAGUUUCCGAGCGUCAUCCAAACUGCUCUGCCGGGAUCUUCUCACGUGAGGUCCAGGCCCAUUUCAGUACAGUCUGGGAGCCACCAGACUCACCACCAGUGAAAAACUCUCUUGGGGUUGGGGAUUUAGCUCAGUGGUAGAGCGCUUGCCUAGCAAGUGCAAGGCCCUGGGUUCGAUCCCCAGCUCCAAAAAAAAAAAAAAAAAAAAAAAAAGAA